CGGCAGGCUAGUCAAAAGCACCCCAGGCCCGCGGGAGCCUCCGGUCCCGGGGUGCGGGCCCGCUCGCCUCCUUCCCGCCCUGUCCAGAGCCGGGAACACGGAGUCCUCAGGCCACGGCGGCGUAUCUUGAGCCCUUGGGGGCAGGAAGAACUGCGUCUCCCUGUACAAGAUUUGGGAUUCUCCAUCAGUAGUCUACAGAGUGGAAAGAUAGAGGCCAUCAGAAGGCUUUGAAAACGCCUGGUUCUGGUGAAACACCAUCAGGACACCUAUUUCAAAAUUUGCCACCGUGGCGUUUGGAAAGCAACAGCGCAGGAGUCACCCUCUGAGCUUCUCCCACCCCUCUCCCCUGCAGUGGAAUUCUCUGAAGGAGACCGUCAUUCUAGAGGUGCUUGUCCUCACCCUACACCCAGGUACAGCAACAUCCUCACCUCUGGAGGCUUAGGGGCACAGAGAACCUGAGAAACAGGCCUUGCUCAGCCCCCCAGUUUAUUCCUAUCAGAUCACAUCCCUUGUCCAGUCACCCUCCGGUCCACCCAUUUUCUCUCUCCUCUCUCUCUCUCAUCCCCCUCCUGCUUUUUGCAAUACUAAGAGUUGAACCUUCACACUGAGCUACAU